CAGAGAAAGAGAGAGUCUUUGGAGAGUUGUGAGGAGAUAAGUGACAUAAACUGGCAUGUUCUGAAAGAAUCACUCUGGAUGCUGUGUGGAGAAAACACUGAAAAGAAUUCUAGAGUGAAAGUUUCAUGAAUAUAAGAAGCAAGACAAGGAAGUGGCUUAUGCUUAAGGCCUUAAAGGCAACCACUGUGACAAUCCAGCCAUUCUCUGGAGAAUUCAGCAGAAAGCCAGUUGGAAGGGGAGAAUAAUUGACUCCAUUCAAGUGUUCGCUCCUGUUUCAAUCAACUAUGGCUGAAGAGUGAGGAGACAUUUGGAAUAAAUAUGGCUUCUGGGGGCCCAUUCCUAUGGAUCAGCAGCUGGCUUCUGGAGGCCCAUUCCUGUGAAUCGUCGAUCUCAUAGAAGAUAAUAUUGUUAGAAGGCUUACCUCAUUGAUGCUGAACAUCCUAAAAAGCUUCUGCUGCUUUGAGUCACUGAAAAAGACCAAGAAACAUGAAUUUAAAAAAAAAUUUCAAAUGUUAUAAAAUAAAUAAUAUGAACUCAUUAUACCUACAAUGAAUAAUUUAAAUUCUUCUUUGGUAGUCCAGCAUAGGUUUAGAAACUAUGAAAACCCUAGAAGAAAACCUAGGCAAUGCCAUUCAGGACAUAGGCACGGACAAAGAUUUCAUGACGAAGACGCCAAAAACAACUGCAACAAAA
rnacentral:lncRNA from 1 species